AGUGAACGCUGGCGGUAGGCCUAACACAUGCAAGUCGAACGGCAGCACAGUAAGAGCUUGCUCUUACGGGUGGCGAGUGGCGGACGGGUGAGGAAUACAUCGGAAUCUACUUUUUCGUGGGUGAUAACGUAGGGAAACUUACGCUAAUACCGCAUACGACCUACGGGUGAAAGCAGGGGAUCUUCGGACCUUGCGCGAUUGCAUGAGCCGAUGUCGGAUUAGCUAGUUGGCGGGGUAAAGGCCCACCAAGGCGACGAUCCGUAGCUGGUCUGAGAGGAUGAUCAGCCACACUGGAACUGAGACACGGUCCAGACUCCUACGGGAGGCAGCAGUGGGGAAUAUUGGACAAUGGGCGCAAGCCUGAUCCAGCCAUACAGCGUGGGUGAAGAAGGCCUUCGGGUUGUAAAGCCCUUUUGUUGGGAAAGAAAAGCAGCAGGUUAAUACCCCGCUGUUCUGACGGUACCAAAAGAAUAAGCACCGGCUAACUUCGUG
rnacentral:rRNA from 1 species